UGAAGUUUCCCCUUCCUCCUGCCUCUGCAGGGUUUGUUCAUGUUCCAAUUCCAACCCGAAAAAUCCUCCCAUUACAAAGAGCUAAUGCUCAGCCAGUAUUAUCAAGGCACCCACAAAGAGAGAACAUGAAGCAGCUUAUCUAUGGGAAGGAAAAUGAGAUAGUUUAUGUCUUCAUCCGCAUUAACAGUGCAGGGACAGUCCUGCCCUGCUCCUCUGAACAGCUGGGAACAAAGACGUGGAUGGAUCAAGUUUACAGAUGGACCAAGGACACUGGGCAGGAAAUUCAAGAUUCCAAAUAUUGCUCCAUACUGGAGAAUGGAUCCCUAGCCUUCAAGGACUUUGGCCCAGAGCAGUCUGGAAUCUACAAAUGCAGUGUCUCCUAUUCCAAAGAGGACAAGCGCUACACAAAGCACUUCCAUUUCUUUGUCAGGGGUAUGAUAUGUAGUAAAGCUGCCCAAGGUGCAGAGAGGUGCAGGAGAGGGAUUGGUUGUUUUGUGAAGAACAAGUCAAGAUGCCAGAGAUAAAUGAUUGCCAUGACCAAAGGGGGGAGCAUGAUCUCCUAUACUGGAGAGACCCAGGGAGUCUGAGUAUUGAUGGAGGUUAGGGUGUUGAGGAGAGUGCCAGUGGGAAUAACUGUGGGUCACUAAGGGUAUGUCUACACUGAGAUUAAGAAAACCCAUGGCACAGCCCCAAAGCUAAGGAGGAGCAUGAGCAGGCACUGCCCCCACCCCCGUACAUUUGUUUACUCCUGUAAAUAAGAUGUUCCAGUUUUUCUUCCCCAGUUUCUUAUUCUGAGUUUCCUCAGAUGAGUGACUGUAGUACUAAAGCCACAAAGUAGUAGUCACAAUUCUAGUAGCCCUUGGGCGUAGGGUGUGUUAGUGACCUUGUUUCAGCUAAAUGAAGUGUGGUGACUGCAUUACAUUGCUGCCAUAAUAAAAGAUGUGCAAGAAAGUCUCUGCA
rnacentral:lncRNA from 1 species